rnacentral:lncRNA from 1 species
UUGCAUUCAACAUGUCUUCUAUUUCAGCCAAUGUCAGCCCUCCAUUCAAUCUUGCCCCCAAGUUUGAUCCCAUGAAAUCAUAUCUAUACUAAACUUCCUUCUAAAUGUUUCUUCAGCGCACACAUUUCACAAUCUUCCUUCAGCCUCCUUCAUUCCAUUUGGGUUUCUGUCAUUGUCUACCAACUAGGCUUUCUUGCUCCUUUCAACCCACUUCCCCUAUUGCAAGCCAUCAGUAAUCCGGUAAUCUUCCUAAAAGCGAGCUCUGUCCACAGCCCUCCCCUGCCUGCAGUGAAUCCCAGGAUCCCAGCUGCUUACCUGGCCUGGCCAUGCCCCGCUUCCAUCUGGAGAUCUGCAGUCCAUCCAUAUUGAACCCCUUUGUUUCUUGAGUGAACUGAGCGCUGCAGUUUCUUGGCUUUCACACCUGCUGUUGUCUUCACUGGGUACACCUCUGACCUUUUUGUUUCCUGGAACCUACUUCUCUUUGCCCUGUGUCUGGCUGAAUCUUACUCACGCUUCAAAUCUCAGCUUAAAAGUCUAUUUCUCUAGAAAAGAUUUCCUGAAGCUCUCUCCCCCAACCCUGAUUCGGGUAAAUGCUUACGCCAGGUGCUUCCUCCACCCUGGAACUUACCUUUGUUACUUAUUUGAUUGUUUUUCUCACUAGCUUGAAAGCUCUGCAGGGGCAGGGACUGUCUCUGUCAGGCACAUUUAUUUGCCAAGUGCCCAAAAUGCAGCAGGUUCUUUGAAUUUUGAAAUGAAUGGCUGUGUUGGGUGGCUCUGUAGGACACUGCUAUGGACGGCUCUCAGUCGCCUGACUCACCAAGACCACCACAGGCUCUGGAAAUUUGGAAAUGUACCCAGUGGCCUUUCAAGUUUUGGUUAAUCUCACUUUACUAAUACUUUGAAGAGGCCAAUGACGUUGCCCCUCAGUUCAAAGAGCAAUUUCACAUCUUUCUUGAGCCAUCUGCUACGUGAACCUCUGUGAGUUGGACUGGGUGGGCACCAAAUGGCAGCCAAAAAUUAAUCUUUUAGGGUCUCCUUAUCCUAAAUCUUAGAGCAUUAUAAUGGCUGUCAAGAAAUUCAUAACUUCUGCGUCUUAUCAGUAGAGAAAUACCGACGUCUGUGGGUGGCAGAUAAACAGAUAACGGAGUUUUGUGGGCUUUGGGCAUAUAAUUCUUUCUUUCGGUGUUAACCCUCAGGUCACGUCUUUCCAGCCCAGGAGAAUAAAUCAAACAGAAAGAGUCAGGAGAAACUGCAAGGCUAGAGUGUUAGUCAAAUAGUUUACCUAGAUGUUGAGGUGUCGGCAGUGAUGAGAGUCAUUGGGGUGGCAACCUCAUCACGGCAUUUAGAGCUGUUGCCCAACCCCUCCCUGAGACACCCCCUUCCAGUUUGAAGCCUCUCUGCCUUCAGGGCCCAUGGUUUUCUAACUUCCUGCCCUUCUACUACCUGGUAAUUCCUUGCUACCUUUGCUGCUCCUUCCCCCUCCUGUCCCUGAGAGGAGGGCCUUUCCCUGGUGUUUGCUUCUUACUUAUCUUCCCUCUCUCCUCUCUCUCUUUCCAGCAAUCUUGUCACUCCACGAGGGUUCAACUAGCUGCAUCUCCUCAGCCCCAUCUUUCUUGAGACUGCAGGGUCUGAAUUUCUGAAUGGAAAUUCCUCCAGGCAGGCAUUUUGGUUGAAUAAGAACUAAGGUUUGAACAGGAAAGAUGAGAAGAGCAGGAGAUGAGAUACCCUCUCCUCUCCUAGUCCUCCACCUCCAUCCCUCUUCAGUUUGGAUCCUGGCUGGGCUGGACCCCGCAUGUUGACAACAAGGAUGUGUUGUGUGGCAUCUUUUUAAUUAAUUUUCAUAUAUGAAUUUACAGGUAGGGUAAGGAUUUCUUCUGUGGAAAAUGGUGCUGAGAUUCCAAUCCCUGCUGAGUUGAGGUUAUAAAGCUAUGGUUGACCUGGAUGAUCUCAGUUGAAGGUCAUAUUUUGGAAACGGUAACAGUGGCUCUGGUAGGGAGUUCACAACAUGGUUGGUUCUGAGCAGGACCAACCAUGUGUUAGGGAAAAUAUUUAUUCAAUAGAAAAAUGAAUAAAAACCAGAAAGAGAAGAAGAGAAUUGCUGAUUCUGGAAAUGGCAAGGUGGCUGGUCCUGGAACUCAGCUUAGUCCACCCCUUGGCAGUUUUUAAUGUAUUCUCAGGGUAAGAUGUGUACAUGUAUUUGUAAAUGAGGCAUGAAUUUAAAGAACUGUUACUUCUGGGAACCCAGGAAGCUUUGCUGAGGGAUCUUACCCUGGAGAGCACAGUAUAAAAGAAAGUAAUUCUCUCUCUUGCCUCAUAGCAACUACUUUGGGGAAGGGACUUUACAAACAUCUGCCCCAAGGCUGGGUGACAGCUGCAUAUCUGUGCAGUGUUUGUACGGGGCAUGCAAUACUUUACACACUAGCAGGGACACCUGCAGCAUCAGUAGGUUUCUGGUCUACCAAGAGCAGUGUGAUGAUGCACUCCAGGCCAGCUGGGGUGGUUGCUGUGGCGAGUAACAUUGUUAAUUCUACCAACACAGGGGGCUGAUGGGUAAAUGACACUGUUGGCAUCAGCAGUGGGCAUGGUGUGCUAACCCUUAACACUGUGCCAGGUGGGGAUGUUGGACCCAGUGGGGAUUACAGUUUUGCUAUCUGUGUGUAAGAACAAUGCUCAGAACAGUGUGCAGCAUGGGUUGUGCAGUGCACGACAGGGGCAUGUGUGAGCACUCAGCAGAUUAUUGGAACUCCUUGGAAAACUGGACCAAGACCUCCAAGGCAGAAGGGUGCUUGGGGAUAUCACUGGAACUGUGAAAUAACCAUACAUAAAAACUAAGACAUUGUGAUCAAAGUACAUAAUGUGCUGGCUAGUUUUUAUUUUUAUAUUGGUUUAUAUUUUAUUUUGUUUCCCAUCUCUUGUCACUCCAACUUAUUUGAAGCACUAUUGUCAAGAAUGACAUUUUAAAGCAUAAUUUGCUGGCCAAGUUACAAAUACUGCUCACCCUUGCUUCCACUCCAAACAAACAAACAAACAACAGCAACAACAAAUGCUCCCAUUUUCUAUACUAUGUCCAACAUCCUCUAGUCUGCCAUCUGCAAGCCUUCAUGAGUGGGUAGUUCCAGGGAUAUUUCUCAUUAGUCUCUUUCACAAACAGGUCCAGCAAAGAGAAUUACUGACCCUUGCUCUCACGCUUUCUGCACUCUCCUGGCCUUGGGACUGUGCUCCUUUUGUUUACCUUCUCUCAUUUUUUCUAGCUCCAAUCCUGCCGGUCCUUCAGGGCUCAGAUCCAAUGCAUGCCUUCCACAGUGCCCUUCCCACACCGCUCAGCUGGAUGCAAACUCUUCCUUUUCUGUGGCUCCUUGUGUUUUUUUUAUGAGGUUUUACCACUUUCCAUCUUCUGCACUUAUAAUUUGUAUGCAUGGGUCAUCUCCACUUAUUAAGGAUAAACCCCCUGCAGGCUGAAGCUUGGCCUGAUAUAACAUUGCUUUUCUGGGCAGGACCAACCAUGUGUUAGGGAAAAUAUUUAUUCA